GAGUUUGAUCAUGGCUCAGGAUGAACGCUAGCGACAGGCUUAACACAUGCAAGUCGAGGGGCAUCACGAAUUAGCAAUAGUUUGGUGGCGACCGGCGCACGGGUGCGUAACACGUAUACAACCUACCUUUAAUAGAGGGAUAACCUGGAGAAAUUCGGACUAAUACCUCAUAGUAAGAUAUUUAGGCAUCUGGAUAUUUUUAAAGAUUUAUCGAUUAGAGAUGGGUAUGCGUAGGAUUAGCUAGUUGGUAAGGUAACGGCUUACCAAGGCGACGAUCCUUAGGGGUUCUGAGAGGAAGGUCCCCCACACUGGUACUGAGACACGGACCAGACUCCUACGGGAGGCAGCAGUGAGGAAUAUUGGUCAAUGGGCGAGAGCCUGAACCAGCCAAGUCGCGUGAAGGAAGACAGCCUUAUGGGUUGUAAACUUCUUUUGUACAGGGGUAAAAGGUUCUACGUGUAGGGUUUUGCAAGUACU
rnacentral:rRNA from 1 species